rnacentral:rRNA from 1 species
GAUGAACGCUGGCGGCAUGCCUAGCACAUGCAAGUCGAUCGGUAAGGCUCUUCGGGGUACACGAGAGGCGGACGGCUGAGUAACGCGUAGGAACACACCCUGCAGUGAGGGAUAAGACACCGAAAGGUGUUCUAAUACCGCAUACGGUCUUCGGAUUAAAGCAUUUAUGCGCUGAAGGAGUGGCCUGCGUCAUAUUAGAUAGUUGGUGAGGUAAUGGCUCACCAAGUCGAUGAUGUGUAGCUGGUCUGAGAGGAUGAUCAGCCAGACUGGAACUGAGACACGGUCCAGACUCCUACGGGAGGCAGCAGUGAGGAAUAUUUCACAAUGAGCGAAAGCUUGAUGGAGCAAUGCCGCGUGCAGGAUGAAGGCCCUCGGGUUGUAAACUGCUUUUAUAAGAGAAGAUUAUGACGGUAACUUAUGAAUAAGGGACGGCUAACUACGUG